rnacentral:rRNA from 1 species
UUGGAGGGCAAGUCUGGUGCCAGCAGCCGCGGCAAUUCCAGCUCCAAUAGCGUAUAUUAAAGUUGUUGCAGUUAAAAAGCUCGUAGUUGAAUUUCGGGGUCAGUAGGUUGGUCGUGCCACUGGUACGUACUGGUCUCACUGAUUCCUCCUUCCUGAUGAACCGUAAUGCCAUUAAUUUGGUGUUGCGGGGAAACUGGACUGUUACUUUGAAAAAAUUAGAGUGUUUAAAGCAGGCUAACGCUUGAAUACAUUAGCAUGGAAUAAUGAAAUAGGACGUUCGAUCCUAUUUUGUUGGUUUCUAGGAUUGACGUAAUGAUUAAUAGGGAUAGUUGGGGGCAUUAGUAUUCAAUUGUCAGAGGUGAAAUUCUUGGAUUUAUUGAAGACUAACUACUGCGAAAGCAUUUGCCAAGGAUGUUUUCAUUAAUCAAGAACGAAAGUUAGGGGAUCGAAGACGAUCAGAUACCGUCGUAGUCUUAACCAUAAACUAUGCCGACUAGGGAUCGGAUGAUGUUAAUUUUUUAAUGACUCAUUCGGCACCUUACGGGAAAC